rnacentral:rRNA from 1 species
UCUGACUGAUCCCGUCAGAGAUCAUUGCUAUCCGAAUUCGACUAAGACAUGCGAACCGAGAGGUGAAAGACCUCGGUGAACUGCUCCGUAAUGUAUAGUCAACCUACCCUUAGGAAGAGGAUAAUCUCGGGAAACUGAGGCUAAUAAACUAUAAUUAUCAACUUCUGGAAUGAUUUGAUAAUCAAAGGUGCAAACCGCCUAAGGAUGGGACUGUAUAGUAUCAGGCUGUUGUUGGUGUAAAGAACCAACAAACCGAUAACGCUUACGGGCUAUGAAAGUAGGAGCCUGGAGAUGGACUCUGAGACAUGAGUCCAGGUUCUACGGAACGCAGCAGUUACGAAAACUUUUCAAUGCUUUAACGAGCGAAAGGGGAAUUUGGAGUGUUCUUGCAUUGCAAGAACUUUUGCUCUCUGAAAAUAGGAGAGCGAAUAAGGGCUGGGUAACACGGGUGCCAGCCGCCGCGGUAAUACCCGGGGCCCGAGUGAUGGUCACGAUUAUUUGGCUUAAAGCAUUCGUAGGCGGUUUGGUAAGUUUCUUGUGAAAUCCUCUAGUAAACUAGAGGGCUUGCAAGAAAAACUACCAGACUUGAGACUGGGAGAGGGCAGUGAUACUUCUUGUGUAGGGGUUAAAUCCUUUAAUCCAAGAAGGAUCACCUGUGGCGAAAGCGACUGCCUAGAACAGGUCUGACGCUGAGGGAUGAAAGCUAGGGGAGCGAUCGGGAUUAGAUACCCCGGUAGUCCUAGCCGUAAACGAUGUCCACUUGGUGUUGUAAGCUUCUUGGGAGCUUACGGUGCCGGAGCGCAAGUGUUAAGUGGACCGCCUGGGGAGUACACUCGCAAGGGUGAAACUUAAGGGAAUUGGCGGGGGAGCACACAAGGGGUGGAGGCUGCGGUUCAAUUGGAUUCAACGCCGGAAAUCUUACCAGGAACGACAGCAGUAUGAGGGUCAGUCUGAAGGGCUUACCAGACAAGCUGAGAGGUGCUGCAUGGCCAUCGUCAGCUCGUACCGUGAGGCGUGCCGUUAAGUCGGUUAACGAGCGAGACCCAUAUCACAUGUUGCUAAUCUCUUAUCAAAGAGAUGCACUCAUGUGAGACCGCUGGUGAUAAACCAGAGGAAGGAAUGGGCGACGGUAGGUCAGUAUGGCCCAAAUUUCCUGGGCUACACGCGGCCUACAAUGCGUACCACAAUGAGAUGCAAUCGCGAAAGCGAAAGCGAAUCCCCUAAAAGUACGCCUAGUUCGAAUUGAGGUUUGUAAUUCUACCUCAUGAAGCCGGAAUCCCUAGUAAGCGAACGUCACUAUCGUUCGCUGAAUGUGUCCCUGCUCCUUGCACACACCGCCCGUCAAGCCAAUUGAGUAGAACUUCAUCGAGGCUUGUGAUGAGCAUGUCGAGUUGAAGUUCUGCAAGAGGGGCUAAGUCGCCACAAGGUA